CAGAAAAUCCGUGUUUCAGAAGAGAUAGUAACAAUUUGUUGCUUACUUGCCUACUUGUUAAAGAAAUGAUCUGGAAGCAUGUAGGAUUAACUUAGUACAGUAAGGAGACAACUUUCAAAAUAUAAGAAUAGGUUGGAGCUAAAUAAUCUGUUAUGGUUUCUCAAGUGCUGGUUUUCAUUUCCUCAGGAAAGGAAGAUGUAAGGACAGCAGGACAGUGAUAACACUUGCUAAUCUGAAACAACUCGUGAGAAUCUGAAGUAUGCAGCCUCUUAGGCAGUUUGCCUAAAUGCAAUUGCAUUUGUCUUAAUGAAGAGGGAAAAUGAAGCCUAGUAAGAGACCAGGAUGCUGCAUCAGAGGAAAGCAGAUAAGCUACACAAAAAAGUCCAGUCCACUGGCUUUGGCUUUAUACACACGUGAUUGUUACCAGGCCCCAGCUUUGAUAUAUUGGUACAAUACUGGAAAGAAACAAGCUGCAGAAAUCAGAUAUCCAUGGUUGUUUUGGUUGUGCCUUCCCUCAGAAGAGGACACGCUGAAUACGGAGUGAUUAAGACAGAUGCCUGGACAGGUGAAGGGAGGUGUUCCAGCAGUGGCAGUGCACACAGCAGAGGAGGGAACAAAUUGCUGCAAGACUGCAGGAGCCCAGGAGGAUGUUGCCAUGGGUAAGAGUAGUGAAAGAAGAACUGAGGAGGAAAGAGGAUGUGUUCAGAGUGACUGCAGAAAGCUGCUUAAAACAAGCACUUAGAAAACACUGGAAUACAGGGCAGUGGUCCCAUUUUGCCAGUCUUGCUCUUAAAGGGUUAUACUAAUGUAUCCAGGUAGCAGUUCACAAAGGAAGAGUCCUGUAUAUCUCCCUUAUUUAGGCAUAUGUUUAUCCAAAUUGGGUUUUGAUAAGAAGACUGCAGCUGGAUCUUUAUUAUCUGAGACAAGUGGCGAUAUUAGCUGUUCAGAGUUCAUGAUGGAAAUGUAUCUGCAUACUGGCGUGCAUCCAGCUGCACUUCACAAAGGUAAGUGGGACAUGAGAGUGCUGCAUUGCUCUUCUUUAACCCAUUUGCUGUAGAAGGGGGUACUGUGCCUCUCUGCAGGAAAGGCUGGUGGAACUACUGUGCUAAUAAACACACAUUUCUUGCUGCAGCAUAUGGGCUUCCCAGAUUCAUAAACCCAAGCAAUUCAUAGAUGAAUUACAAUUAAAUAUCCACACACACUUCCGUACUGCAGCCUAACAUGAGAGGCAUAGGCCUAAGUGUCUGGGCAUCUGCUGUCUGCUCUCCUGCACACACUGCUUGGCAGAGCACAGCCCCUUAAUCUUACUCCACCUCCAUUAAUUGUACCUUCAAAAUCAGAUGCACAGUGUCAUUCUAUAGAUGUUUUGCCAUGUUCUUCCAAGAGCAGCAUUCUCUCCUGCUCUCUCUUUUCCCUUUCCUUCUUCUUCCUUUUAUUUAUUUAUUGGACUGGAUGAUCCUGUGGGUCUUUUCCAACCUUAGCGAUUCUAUGAUUCUAUGAUUUGUUUGUUUGUUUGUUUGUUUAUUUAAGCAGCCCUUAUUGUCAAAUAGUCAGAAAUACUUUCAUUGCUGCUGGUCUUUUUGCCAAAAGAUUUCCAGGCCAAAGGUUCACUUGGGCUCUGAUAAUGACAGUGGGAAAUGAGGGCACCGAUGGAUCCCCACAACAAUUUUGUGUCACUUGUACAAGACCCAUAGGCUCAGUACUGUAGUAAGAUAAUGUAGCACUUGAUUACAAUGGAUGUAUUGCACUUACAGAAGGCAUCUUGUCGUGGGGCUCUGCAUAUCUGAAGUAAUAACCGCUGAUGUCAGGUAAGACAAUGGUAAUGGAAGCAGAUAAUUUUCCCAUUGUUAAAAUGCUAUAAAAGUCUUAAUUACAUGAAAUUUAGCUAGAUCUAGUGCUGGUGGCUGGAGGGAACAUCCUUCUGAGGUUCAGCCUUUCUCUUAGUCUGAUGAGAGCUAUUUAAAGAAGAAAGAAUUAUAUGUAAUUAUUACCCAUCUUGAGUUUCCAGGCAGCAAGGUUACCACAUGAAACUGCCAUUCAGAUAUUCUCAUUUGUCCCAGAAAGCUUGAACAAAGAUUUAUAAUCUGCUCUGAACUUAACGAGCCUCCUUCAGUGGUGAAGCCGCAUGAGGCACAAGAGCUGUCUUCUGCACAGUUGUAUAGCCACCUAACACAGUGCUUAUUCUCUUAUGGAUGUAGCAGACAACUUUGUCCUCUACCCCAUGUUCCUGUCAGUCACAGGAUAAGUUCUAGCCACUAUUGCAAGAACAUCCUAAACCAGUCUGCAAUUUGUAUUUCCUUGCCAAAGAUCUUAUCUGCUGCGGGUGCAAGUUGCACCAGAAAGGUUGCUGGUGCUGAAAAAUGUGCACUCCUCUGUUUCACAGCUCUGCUUUGUCAGGCUAGGUUAACUCACCUACAAGAGCUGGACUGAGCUGUCCUGUGUGAAAGCUCAUGCAGCAAGGCAGUGCUGCUCUGAUCGUGGGAGCAAUGUCUGUAUUUGAUUGGUCACCUCAGAACUUGCCGAUUAUUGUUCUUAGGAGCAGGCUGUACUUUUGCCAUCAUCAUGUCAGGCUCUGUGCUGCGUUUCUGCAGAAGUUCAUGCUUCGUAUUCCUAUGUUUGCAAAAAUGACAAAUGCUGAGAGUAAAAAUUUAUUCAAAUGAAUUGCUAUUUACAUAUUUACAGGGGAAAAAAAAGUAUGCCAGGGAUCCAAUGACCCUAUGAGAGAUGCGGUGUGGAUUUCAGUGGGACAUGGACUGGGCCUCAUAAGCUGCUUGUCUCACACCAACAACCCCCUGAUACUAUCAUGAAAACUUCCCGUUUACAGCGACAGGUGCCGCAGGGGGCUGUAUACUUGGAUAUUAUUAAUUCUUUCCUUAGGAGUGUUUAUUAACAAAUGCUUGCAAGUUGUAUGGUGUGGUGUGGUGUAAACAGGAAGCACUCCAAGGUACUGCAUUGCCCAUGUAAUGCAGCACAUAUUCCAACAGCUUGGCUUUUUUUUUUUCCAAAAUACUGCGACACCACUUCCUUCAAGAAGUCUCUCCUGCCUGCGUGGCUCAUUUCUGCUAUAGAUAUGCAAAGCUGCAAAAGAACCGAUUGUUUUAAAAAUGAAUGUUGAUUUGCUAGACUGGGAACUGAUGUCUGUAAUUUAUAUCCUAUCUUUAAAGUUAUGCAGUACAGACUCUUUGGGCGCUCUGAUCAGCAGACUGAACAAAGCGCAAGAGAAGAGGCUGCCACCUUUCCUCCUGCAGCAUAGUGUUGCCUGGAGAGCAGCGAUGCAGACUGCCCUGCAGGUACUGCAGUGCAUCUCAGCCCAAGCCCUGGGGCAGUGCCUCUUCUGCCACUCUGUGCCAGCAGGCUGGGCUCUGACCGGUGCAGGGAAACAGUUGUUCCAUUUCCAGUCAGCUCUUGUUGUCUGCCAAGAGCAGCAAUGGGAAAGCUAAGAGUGACCGUUCAUAUGUGGAAACUUUAUAUUCACAAUAACGGCGCUGAGGCCUCCAAGCUGUCUCAUAAGGGCUCCAUGCUCUUGUUGUGUGAUGUACCAGUGCUGUCUGUAUUCUGGGCUUUUAUGUGAGCAUCUCAGAAUCCCACUGGCACACUGUUUCCUAUGCCUUGUUCAGACAGUGCUAUGUACAACAGGAGCAGACAGCGGGGAAUUAUACUUGUGCCACCACAAGAUCACUACCUACAUGGUUGUUAUAAACCAAAACGAGUGCUAAGAACAUCACUUGAAAUGAAGUUCUAGUAGCAUUGUCAUGAAGGUUUGGUAUCAUUUCCUAAACUGGUUCUCAGUGAAGGUGCUUCUGUGUCUGCCCCAGGUGUAAUGCAAUUGGGCUGAUAUCAGGACUGAUGCUUUCUUCUCUAUCCUCCCAUCAGUCAAGCUCUUCAUCACACAUACCCCCUUGAUUUUUUAACUGUGAGUGAGAAAGAAUGAAAAUGAAAUUGCUGCAAUAUCUGGACCACAUAAAACCCCAAUAAUCCUGUGUCUAUGUUCUUUAACUUCUGCCCUUAUUGGAGGCAUCCCUUGUCCAGUGUGAAGUGGAACUGAGAGUGACUGGGGGAAACAGACAGUGUGUUUAAGUAUUUGUAAAUCAUGAGCCUUGUGAGGUUUUGUAAUAAUCUUACUGCCUAUUUUGUGUUUUUGUGUAUUCGUCUAGCAACUGAUGAUAUCAAAAACAGAGAGAUCAGGAGGCUGAUAUUACACGCUAAGUCUGUUCUGUAAAAUCUCAGUAGCCUUUUGGUGCAUGGAACUUCGGCACACGCAAACUGUGACUGCAGCGACGUCCUCGUAAGUCACCAUAACAUUCUGUGCAAACACUGACUGUGCAUGUGUUUUGUCACUCCUGCAGAAUAACUCUGGCUCAAUACUUGCAUCAUCCAUAGCUUGUUUACAGAAUUGGAAGUCUUGAGCAAAGCGAAGCUGACUCGUGGAGAAGCUGGUUUUCAAAAGAUACAAGCUCCAGAUAACUAAGGACAAGUGAAGCACACAACAAUAUAGAAAUCACUCGGUUUUACUGCAGCCAACUGAGACAAAGUGUGCUUUGAAGCUGGGAAAUUUCCAUUACUGAAGUGCAGGACAGUGCCUGGAUACUGCUGCUACUGCAGCUGAGAAAUAAAAGCAACUUAAUUUUACAUAGCAGCAAAAUGUCAGUAUGUUAAUUACAACUGUUAGAGUUUUAUAAGAUUUUAAGGAUGCCGUAAAAUGGAUUCCUUCUAAAAUAUUUAGGAUAUAAUUGUAAAUGACUUCUCUAAAACUAAGGAGCAUUAAAAGGACUUGAAAUUGUACCUAAGUUUUCAAGCUGUAUCAUAUUUGUGAACAUCAGAUCUGACAAGAACAUGACACGACAUCCCCUACGACAGUGACAGUGUGACAGCGGCAGAACGACAUCCAGUGUGAGUCCAAGGUUGUUACGGACAGCGUAGUUCUGCAGUUAAGGACUGUUUUUGCUCUCCGUGGGGUGCUCAAAACAAAUAUAGCUAUCUGUUCACCACUUUUAAGUCCAUAAUCUAUAAACCACCAUAAGCUUCCUGUAAAGUCAGUCAGAAUGCUGAGCAGAGAAGAAACGAAAUACUGGGGGCAAAAAAAAGUGAGUUCAUUUUGGCAUCAAUCAAAUUGCCCUGCACUUUGGGCAAGAUACUGCAUUUAACUUCCCAAUGGCAUAAAAUUGCAGAGAUGCUCAUUUAAGCCCGAGGUCACUUCACAUUGCCGAAGGGAUGGAUGACAUUUAAAUCAAAAUGCAUCCCAUGGGCUUUCAGCUGUAUGUCACUGGUUAAAUCGGGCCCAGGUAGGUUCUGAUUAGAAGCUAUUAGCAUUUGAUGCUCUUUAUGAAUCUGAGGAUGGUUCCCAGUGGAUCAGAGCUCGUAUCUGAGCAAUUUAAGUUUGUGUCACAUUCAUCACCAUGGUUCCUGACUGCCUUAGAAGUUAAAACACAUCUUUAUAAAACGCCUUGCAUGUCUUAUUUCUCUUUUUCUUCUCCUCCACUUGAAGUCUCCUUAAAUAGUGCUGGGAAAAUUCCUUCUGUACUGAAUGCCUGCAUUUGGUUUGGAUGAUGGGUGGGUUGGGGUCACCCCAAGGUACUGCGCACACAAACGCUGUGCUCUUGCAGCAGAUACCACCAGAGCUGUGCCUCCAGUGUGCCCAUACAAAUAAUGCAGCUAUUGCUGCAGUGAUGAUUUCAGGAGACACCGUUUUAAUUUUAGCAGAAAAAAAUGAAAUCCCCAACAAGCAACAUUGUAGGGCAGCUGUGUGUUGGUUCUUUUUCUAAGCCUGAUAAUGCUGUUCCUGGGAGCAGUGGGGCCUCUCAUAGUAUGCCACUUGCUUUUUCUGUUUACAGAACGUGAAGUUAACAGUUAAAGAUGGUAUCUGUAAGCACAGGGAGCCUCCAGACCCUGCCUGUAGGACGGACCUGUCUAUGGGCCUCCUCACUUGAUGCAAAGAUGGAGAUAGUGCAAACCACGGCAUGUUUAGCCCCACCUAUGGUAAGGCUUACCCUGUUUACUAAUACAGCCUUCAAACACAAGGCUGCAUUUCUGCCUGGGAAACUCUUCUUACCGCUGGUUUUGUUGCUGUUGGAGGCAUAGAAACAUUUUCUCCUCUCUGCUUUUCAUCAUUUUGUGGUAUCGGCGUUCCCUUAACAUAACCCAGUAUUUCGACCAUCAAACUAAUAACUUUAUUGAAACACUUUUACGUUCUUUCCAGAAUUGACACUUUAAUGUCACCUCGCUGAGGUAGAACAACAGCCAGUGUGGGUAAGGGCAGUGCAUUCAAAUGGGCGGAAAAACAAUUGGUAACAUUUCUACUUGGCCUGCCUAAUUCCAUAACAGUGCUGCUUCACUGAAAGGCAUACACGAAGCUCCAUCGCAAGAGGGACUGCUGGCAAAGCACACCACAGCCUUCUGACCUUGUUUAGCUCUAACUGGAUUAAACAUAUGGGAUCGCAGCACUCAUGGGAGAUGAGGGCUCUUCCACCAUCUCCUGGUCUGCCUGCUCGGUUUCCUUUUCCGUUCUGCUAUGCUUCAUUGAAGGCAGAAAUAACGUCCGUAUGCGGUAGCUCUGAUUCAGUGUUACUCUGGCAGGUUGUGUUUAAGCUGGGUUCCCUAGAUUACUGGAUCUGCGUUUGCCCAUGGCAGAUUUAUUUAAUCAGAACUGCAACCAUCGUUCAUUUUUGGAGUGCAGAGCCCUGGAAACCACGCUGGACUCCGUUUCGGCAAAUUUAAGCAUUUAUUCCCAUUUACCGCUGUCCAAAUUUCCUGAGAGAAAUAAAGCGGCGUUUGAAGUGGAGCACGCGGUUAGAACGACGCGCACCGCACACGUCUGCCAAGGGCAGCAGGACGGGAUCCCAACCCGGGCAGCCUCCGCUGCAGCGAGCAAAACCCGGGAGCAGCGGGACGGCCGCAGCGCUGCGCGGAGCACCGCCGGGAGAACCCACGGGAAGCGGCUGAAGCGAGGAGGGGUCGCAGCCCCACAGAGCCCGCGAGGCGCCCGGUGCCGAACG
ensembl:lncRNA